UUGACCUCGGAUCAGGUAGGAAUACCCGCUGAACUUAAGCAUAUCAAUAAGCGGAGGAAAAGAAACCAACAGGGAUUGCCCUAGUAACGGCGAGUGAAGCGGCAACAGCUCAAAUUUGAAAUCUGGCUCUCGGGCCCGAGUUGUAAUUUGUAGAGGAUGCUUUUGGUGAGGUGCCUUCCGAGUUCCCUGGAACGGGACGCCAUAGAGGGUGAGAGCCCCGUCUGGUUGGA
rnacentral:rRNA from 1 species